GAUGAACGCUGGCGGCGUGCCUAAUACAUGCAAGUCGAGCGAACAGACGAGGAGCUUGCUCCUCUGAUGUUAGCGGCGGACGGGUGAGUAACACGUGGAUAACCUACCUAUAAGACUGGGAUAACUUCGGGAAACCGGAGCUAAUACCGGAUAACAUGUUGAACCGCAUGGUUCAACAGUGAAAGACGGUCUUGCUGUCACUUAUAGAUGGAUCCGCGCCGCAUUAGCUAGUUGGUAAGGUAACGGCUUACCAAGGCAACGAUGCGUAGCCGACCUGAGAGGGUGAUCGGCCACACUGGAACUGAGACACGGUCCAGACUCCUACGGGAGGCAGCAGUAGGGAAUCCUCCGUAAUGGGCGAAAGCCUGACGGAGCAACGCCGCGUGAGUGAAGAAGGUCCUCGGAUCGUAAAACUCUGUUAUUAGGGAAGAACAAAUGUGUAAGUAACUAUGCACGUCUUGACGGUACCUAAUCAGAAAGCCACGGCUAACUACGUG
rnacentral:rRNA from 1 species